ACCUUUCCUAUGGAAGAGUUUCCAAUAAUUUAUGUAGAAAACAUGGGGAAAUAGGAAAUCACUAUUAGAACACCACAGCAGUAGUCGCUGCAGGCAAGAUCCAAAGUCGGAUCGAUAUUAUUGGGUGAAACCUGAAAACGAGAUUUGUAAAAGCUCAAUAUAUAUUUAACCACAUAUUUACUACGUGCUGUGGUUAGUCUGAUGCCAUUAUAACAUACACAGUGUGGAAAGGGAAAGAUAGUAAGUUCACAUUGGAGAAACCUGGCAGACUCCACCUUAACCAGGUGAUAUGGUUAAUGUCAGCAGUGAUAUCUUGCCCCCGUAUGAUGUGAGGAAAAGGUCGCUUCGCCUUUGUGUUAGUCUCUCCACAAAUCCAUAGCCCCAAACCAGACAGAGAAGCAUAAACUAGGGGAAUUCUAUAAAUAUAUAAUCUGUAUUCAUAAAAAGUUCCAAGGUCAUGAAAAACAAGGAAAAAGUGAGAAACUGUCAAGAUUUGGGAAGACUACAGAAUCAUAAUGACUAAACACAACACUGUAUCUAGUACUGGAUCCUGGAACAGACAAAAAUAGGAAUGGAAAAAUGUCUCAGUAGGAAGAAGGACCUCGACCAAAGAGUGAGCACUGGAGGUUUUGGAGGUUUGCAGGAAGAAAAGCUGUGAAAUAUUAAAAAAAAAUACCGUGGGAGCAUCACCAGACUAGAGAACAUGUUAGAAUUUGGGGGCAACACUGAAUACCUUCAUGAAGUUACUGGUCAUGAGUCAAAGUGAGACCAAAGCUUAGAUACCCUAGCAGAAAUCUUGUCUGGAUGAGAUGCUGGCGGUUGAUCAUUAGAUUCAUCACCUAGCCCAGGGCUGUUGGUUGAGGCCUGAGACCCAUGGAGGAAGGGACAAAGAAUCAUAUGUAAAAAAGCAAAAGAAAACACUGCACCACUAAAAGCUUUGAAAUGUUAACACUACUUUUAAAGCAUGUAAACAAAAGAUGAGAAGAUGACCGUCUCUCCCCAUCCCACUGCUCGUCAUGGAGCACCUCAAAGAAUCUCCUGCUUUGGCACUGGUGGAAUUUUCAGCCUUACCAGGUGAAAGUGGUGGUGACCUGAGGAGGAUUAUGGAACCUGUGAGUGUGCACAAGCAGGAGGACACUGCUGGACCCACGAAGAGGAAAAGGAUCAAGAUGUGAACACCAUGUGGCGACUGACUAGAACGUCUCACCACGAAGGUCCCUCUGAGAGUUCCCAGAAGGACCUGAAUGUAGACUCUGUCGAUAAAAGAUUCAUGAAGGUUCGCUGUGGGAGGAGGAAUUCUAAACACAAACCUUGCUCUGGCUGGUACAGAAGGGAAAGUCAAAAACAUUUAAAGCACAAGUGGACCUGACACAUCACUGCUUGCUUGAAGACAGAAGAAAACCCAUGAGAUGGAGUGCAGAUAGUUACAAGAUGCCAAGAUUGGACCUUGGCUAACACCCAGCAAAGAAAUAGACCCCAUCCCUAAAACUGUGAGGAACUGAAUUCUAGCAACCUGAAUGAGCUUGGAUGCAGACUUCUCCAUAGAGCCUGCAGACAAAAAACCCACCUGGAUAACAGUUUGAUUUCAGUCUUCUGAUACCCUGAGCAGAGAAUCCACCCAAACUGGGAGCUCUUUGUUAAUAAAUGAGUGUUGUUUUAAGCCCCUAAA